UUCAUUUAUUUUUUUCAGAUGUAGCAUGUCAAAGACAGCGGCUGAAAAAAAUGCAGUACCAACUGAAAACCUGCCAAGGACGUCAUGUUAUGAUGAGAACAAGGAUGCUCAUAUGAAAGAGCUUUCACUGGCAAGACUUCGCCGACGUGUGUAUCGGUCAGCCAGAAAUGAAUCAAGCAAAGAAACUGUUGCCUCCCCAUUAGAAGCAAAGGUGUUGCCCCAUGCACCUGUCAGCACGACCACCAUGGACGAUCUCCCCAUCCCCUGACCGCAACAGCAUGGACCAAAUAAGUGACAAAGGAAAUAUGGAAUGUGCUUGCCAACCUGGCCUCCAGACAUUAAUGGCAGAGUACUCAAGAGAAGAAAAAGACGUGGCAAAUUUCCUACUAGAAAUGGCUUCACGGACAAGGCUUACAGAAAGCAAGGCUGCCCAAGUGACAUCGGGUACUUUUCCACAGAAGUUUGUGAACACGAUAAAUAGUAGCAACGUAAAUACAUUCACAGGCCUGCCAUCAUUCGAUGUUCUGAAUGCUCGUGUGACGUGCUACACAAAAAUUCAUCCACUUUCAGGACGGCACCAGUUAUGUGUAAAAACAAUUGCAUUGACAUUGGUGAAAUUGAAGCAUAUUUCCACUGCAUUCUUGAGUCACCUUUUUAACUGUUCUCUAACUACAUGUAGCAACAUAAUUGCAGAGACUGCUCAGUUGAUGUGUGAAAUUUUAAAAGUAACUGUGGCUGUGCCACCAAAAGAUGAAUUCCAGUGGCACGUUUGCAUAUUUGGCAUUAGGUGAUUCACCUGAAGUCGUGCCAUGGCUGGCGAUAUUGCAAGUAGCCUCUAUUGCAUAGAGGCAUUUGUGCGUGUGACCUUGGCUCCAUCAAAGCGUGGCGGCCUUGAGAGUAAGUGCGGUCUUCUGUUUGGAAACCCAGCAUUUUUUAUGCCACUAACCACUUCAUACUUUUCAGACACGGUCGUUGCCAUGUGAUCUACAUGCUGCACUUGUUUGCAUUGGCCAAACCUGCAGACUUCAACUUCAACACACUUUUUGUAAAUUAGCAAUGCACAUUCUUUUGCAACUUGUAUUCUUCAUUGAAGUGCUGAUUUACACUACGCAUUCUGAUGCAAGUUUUCAUCUUAUGGUAUUCCGAGAUAUUUGCAGUUCACUUAUGAUCUGUGUGCAUAGAGUUGUGGUUAUUCUUCAAUGGCUGUUUGUUGUCCCUUUCCUUACUUGUAUUUUUUCACAAAAUAAACCACAUCCACUCAAUAUUUUGUUCACUGUA